UCUCUUGUGCUCGGGCACGAGCUAUGGCCAGUGAGGUUCUUACCGAGGCAUAGCCAUUUGCUAGUUGCAAACUACCCAAAUCCCACCUCUUUGCUUUGACUUUGAGGGAAUUUUUGACACUUUCUACCAAAA
rfam:Serendipita vermifera MAFF 305830 unplaced genomic scaffold scaffold_19, whole genome shotgun sequence.